rnacentral:rRNA from 1 species
CCUACGGGAGGCAGCAGUGAGGAAUAUUGGUCAAUGGACGAGAGUCUGAACCAGCCAAGUAGCGUGAAGGAUGACUGCCCUAUGGGUUGUAAACUUCUUUUAUAUGGGAAUAAAAUGUUCCACGUGUGGGAUUUUGUAUGUACCAUAUGAAUAAGGAUCGGCUAACUCCGUGCCAGCAGCCGCGGUAAUACGGAGGAUCCGAGCGUUAUCCGGAUUUAUUGGGUUUAAAGGGAGCGUAGGUGGCUUGUUAAGUCAGUUGUGAAAGUUUGCGGCUCAACCGUAAAAUUGCAGUUGAAACUGGCAGUCUUGAGUCCGGUGAAGGUGGGCGGAAUUCGUGGUGUAGCGGUGAAAUGCUUAGAUAUCACGAAGAACUCCGAUUGCGAAGGCAGCUCGCUGGACUGCAACUGACACUGAGGCUCGAAAGUGUGGGUAUCAAACAGGAUUAGAUACCCCUGUAGUC